rnacentral:rRNA from 1 species
GGUCUGAGAGGAUGACCAGCCACACUGGGACUGAGACACGGCCCAGACUCCUACGGGAGGCAGCAGUGGGGAAUCUUGCGCAAUGGGCGAAAGCCUGACGCAGCCAUGCCGCGUGAAUGAUGAAGGUCUUAGGAUUGUAAAAUUCUUUCACCGGGGACGAUAAUGACGGUACCCGGAGAAGAAGCCCCGGCUAAUUUCGUGCCAGCAGCCGCGGUAAUACGAAGGGGGCUAGCGUUGCUCGGAAUUACUGGGCGUAAAGGGCGCGUAGGCGGAUCGUUAAGUCAGAGGUGAAAUCCCAGGGCUCAACCCUGGAACUGCCUUUGAUACUGGCGAUCUUGAGUAUGAGAGAGGUAU